CUCUUCCGAUCUCGCCCGCCGCGCGCGGCGGGCGGGGCGGGGGCACGGGGGGCCUACGGGAGGCAGCAGUGGGGAAUUUUGGACAAUGGGGGCAACCCUGAUCCAGCCAUGCCGCGUGAGUGAAGAAGGCCUUCGGGUUGUAAAGCUCUUUCGGCUGGGAAGAAAUCGCACUCUCUAACACAGGGUGUGGAUGACGGUACCAGCAUAAGAAGCACCGGCUAACUACGUGCCAGCAGCCGCGGUAAUACGUAGGGUGCGAGCGUUAAUCGGAAUUACUGGGCGUAAAGCGUGCGCAGGCGGUUUUGUAAGACAGGCGUGAAAUCCCCGGGCUCAACCUGGGAACUGCGCUUGUGACUGCAAGACUAGAGUACGGCAGAGGGGGGUGGAAUUCCACGUGUAGCAGUGAAAUGCGUAGAGAUGUGGAGGAACACCGAUGGCGAAGGCAGCCCCCUGGGCCAGUACUGACGCUCAUGCACGAAAGCGUGGGGAGCAAACAGGAUUAGAUACCCUGGUAGUCCACGCCCUAAACGAUGUCUACUAGUUGUCGGGUCUUAAUUGACUUGGUAACGCAGCUAACGCGUGAAGUAGACCGCCUGGGGAGUACGGUCGCAAGAUUAAAACUCAAAGGAAUUGACGGGGACCCGCACAAGCGGUGGAUGAUGUGGAUUAAUUCGAUGCAACGCGAAAAACCUUACCUGCUCUUGACAUGUACGGAAGACUUCAGAGAUGAGGUUGUGCCUUCGGGAACCGUAACACAGGUGCUGCAUGGCUGUCGUCAGCUCGUGUCGUGAGAUGUUGUCUUAAGUGACGCAACGAGCGCAACCCUUGCCACUAGUUGCCAUCAUUAAGUUGGGCACUUUAGUGGGACUGCCGGAGCUAAUCCGGAGGAAGGUGGGGAUGACGUCAAGUCCUCAUGGCCCUUAUGAGCAGGGCUUCACACGUCAUACAAUGGUAGGUAACAGAGGGACGCAAGACCGCGAGGUGGAGCAAAUCCCAUAAACCCUAUCGUAGUCCGGAUCGUAGUCUGCAACUCGACUACGUGAAGUCGGAAUCGCUAGUAAUCGCGGAUCAGAAUGUCGCGGUGAAUACGUUCCCGGGUCUUGUACACACCGCCCGUCACACCAUGGGAGCGGGUUCUGCCAGAAGUAGUUAGCCUAACCGCAAGGAGGGCGAUUACCACGGCAGGGUUCGUGACUGGAGAUCGGAAGAGCGUCGUGUAGGGAAAGAGUG
rnacentral:rRNA from 1 species